GCCGACCUGAUCCCCGCCUGUCAGUGUGUAUCUGGUGCUGGGACUGGGAGGGUGUCCUCUCUCUCUGGCUCCGUAGCUGGUCAUUUUAAAAGAUAUAUAGCGAGAUAUAUUUUUCAUAGUAGUGACGCUAUUCAGAAACUAGUGAAUGGUAAAAGGAGAUAAACACUCGAGGCGAGAAACCGACGCCAAAUGAGAGAGAGAAAAGUAGGAAAAUAAUGAGAGAGAGAAAAAAAAAACAGUAAAGGAAUAAGAAGAAAAUUUUCCAAAGACUAAUAAUCAACUGACAAUGAUUGCCCGAAGGAAGUGAAUAAAUAGGUGCUAUUAAAAAAAAACAAAAAAAACAAAAACGAGGACAAACAGUGAAAGAAAACUAUUCCAUAAAUAUCACUAGGAUUAAAAAAACAAACAAAAAACAACAACAUUAAAGACCUUUUCGUGACUGCUCGUCGAAAUCCCAGAUGAAAAAGGGGAAGCUACGAUGCUGUGAUAUUGUGCUUGAGAAAAAGAAUCCGCCUGCCUUAACGCUUUCACAGGUGUCAGGCUCGCCGGUCGCUUUCUCGAAGACCGUCUGAUCAUGACAGAUUCGUGUGGGAAAGACCGCCGGACAAGCUUGUGUUUUGCGUUCGAACUGUCGGGGAAAAGACGGUGAUGAUCAGCGGAUAAACACAUUCCUGCGGGAAGUCUGUUUUUUCCGAAGUGUUUUUUUUUUUUUAUCAUCGAGAUCCCUGUGGAUAAUAACGCAGCGUCUACUUUCCCUUUUCUUCCCUCUGAGACACGUUUUUUUUAUUUCUAAGAUGAUCACUAGAAAAUAUCUUAGCCAUAAACAUUACGCCUCUUGUUGAUGUUCGUUCUUGGAGGAAGGGAAUCGAAAGAGUUCCUCGAGGAGAGAAGACGUCACGUCUGGUUCUUGAUUAGACCUUCGCUUCGCUACAAUGGCGGUCCCGAUGACGCUGCACGAAGACCAUCAAGUGCUCGGAGAGGACUAUUGCUCGGGCUAUAUCGACACCUUCGGGAAAUGGAGCAACGGGUUCCCGUGUCCGAGCCGCAAGAACGGAGAGGCCGUG
rnacentral:lncRNA from 1 species